AAGAACGUGGAUGCUUCACUAGCCUGAGGUGGACAGGUUUGUCAUUGUGCUUUGUGAAUAAUUCCAAGCUUGAACUAUGAGCUGUUUUGAGUUUGUUGAAACGAGCCUGUAGGCUGUACUCGUUUGACCAUACGCAAUGAAUCAGACCGACUUGAAGUGAAAACUGCCAAAAUUAAAGCAUUGAGCUUGCUCACAAUUCCUCAUUCUAGCAACAGAAAUAUUUUUACCUGGAUGCAUAUCAAUAAUGACUUUGUCUCAAAUUGUUGAAUUUGUAAAGGAAUUUUAAGAGUCGAAUAUCGUUCUGCGAUUGUGGAUUUAAG
rnacentral:misc_RNA from 1 species